rnacentral:tRNA from 1 species
GUACUUAGCUCAGUUGGUCAGAGCAAAUGGCUCAUAACCGUCCGGUCGUAGGUUCGAGUCCUAAAGGGUACC